GGCACGUGAAACCCUGUCUGAACAUGGGGGGACCAUCCUCCAAGGCUAAAUACUACUGACCGACCGAUAGUGAACCAGUACCGUGAGGGAAAGGCGAAAAGAACCCCGGAGAGGGGAGUGAAAUAGAACCUGAAACCGUGUGCGUACAAGCAGUAGGAGCUCCGCAAGGAGUGACUGCGUACCUUUUGUAUAAUGGGUCAGCGACUUACUGUUCGUGGCAAGCUUAACCGUAUAGGGGAGGCGAAGGGAAACCGAGUCUGAUAAGGGCGCAUAGUCGCGGGCAGUAGACCCGAAACCGGGUGAUCUAGUCAUGCCCAGGGUGAAGGUGCGGUAACACGCACUGGAGGCCCGAACCCACUCCCGUUGCAAAGGUAGGGGAUGAGGUGUGAUUAGGAGUGAAAAGCUAAUCGAACCCGGAGAUAGCUGGUUCUCCUCGAAAGCUAUUUAGGUAGCGCCUCAUAUGUAUCCUCUCGGGGGUAGAGCACUGUUAUGGCUAGGGGGUCAUCGCGACUUACCAAACCAUUGCAAACUCCGAAUACCGAGACGGACUGUAUGGGAGACACACGGCGGGUGCUAACGUCCGUCGUGAAAAGGGAAACAACCCAGACCCACAGCUAAGGUCCCAAAUUUUGUGCUAAGUGGAAAACCAUGUGGAAAGGCACAGACAGCCAGGAGGUUGGCUUAGAAGCAGCCACCCUUUAAAGAAAGCGUAAUAGCUCACUGGUCGAGUCGGUCUGCGGGGAAGAUUUAACGGGGCUAAGCAC
rnacentral:rRNA from 1 species